rnacentral:misc_RNA from 1 species
UUUCCGUAGGUGAACCUGCGGAAGGAUCAUUAUCCAUUUCAUCCAAAUCUCGGGGGUGCGCUCGCGCGCGCUCCCUUUCGACCCUCUCUUUUGCUGGGUUGCGCAACUGUUUUCUCGGAACUGUUCUCGGGGCUGGUGGUCUCGCACACCCAGUUCCCCCUUUUUUCCAUCUCACACAACCCAUUUUUACCCAACCGCCUUAACUGUUUCCACAUAUGCCAAAACCGCGUACAACUCUUAGCGACGGAUAUCUUGGUUCUC